rnacentral:rRNA from 1 species
CCUACGGGUGUCUGCAGUGGGGAAUAUUGGACAAUGGGGGGAACCCUGAUCCAGCGACGCCGCGUGAGUGAAGAAGUAUUUCGGUAUGUAAAGCUCUAUCAGCAGGGAAGAAAGAAAUCACGGUACCUGACUAAGAAGCCGCGGCUAACGACGGGCCAGCCGCCGCGGUAAUACGUAGGGGACAAGCGUUAUCCGGAUUUACUGGGUGGAAAGGGAGCGUAGACGGCGAUGCAAGUCUGAAGUGAAAGGCGGGGGCCGAACCCCUGGACUGCUUUGGAAACUGUUUGGCUGGAGUGCAGGAGAGGUAGGUGGAAUUCCGAGUGUAGCGGUGAAAUGCGUAGAUAUUAGGAGGAACACCAGUGGCGAAGGCGGCUUACUGGACUGUAACUGACGUUGAGGCUCGAAAGCGUGGGGAGCAAACAGGAUUAGAUACCCCUGUAGUC